rnacentral:tRNA from 1 species
UCCUUGGUGGUCCAGUGGUUAAGACACUGUGCUUCCGAUGCAGGAGACUUGGGUUCAAUCCCUGGUCGGGGAA